CUGGUGUCAGCCGCCGCGGUAAUACCAGCACCUCGAGUGGUCAGGACGUUUAUUGGGCCUAAAGCAUCCGUAGCCGGCUCUGCAAGUCUUCGGUUAAAUCCACCUGCUCAACAGAUGGGCUGCUGGAGAUACUACAGAGCUAGGGAGUGGGAGAGGCAGACGGUAUUCAGUGGGUAGGGGUAAAAUCCUCUGAUCCAUUGAGGACCACCAGUGGCGAAGGCGGUCUGCCACAACACGUUCGACGGUGAGGGAUGAAAGCUGGGGGAGCAAACCGGAUUACAUACCCGGGUAGUCCCAGCUGUAAACGAUGCAAACUCGGUGAUGCAUUGGCUUAUGGCCAAUGCAGUGCCACAGGGAAGCCGUUAAGUUUGCCGCCUGGGAAGUACGGACGCAGUCUGAAAUUAAAG
rnacentral:rRNA from 2 species